rnacentral:ncRNA from 1 species
UAACCGCUGACGAUAAUCGUGAACGUUA